GCCAAGUGUGGUGGAGCAUGCCUGUAAUCCCAACACCUUGGGAGGCUGAGGCAGGAGGAUAGCAAGUUCAAGGCCAGCUUCAGGAAAUUAGCAAGACCCUGUCUCAA
rnacentral:sRNA from 1 species